ACCACCCUUUUUCCUCCUGCUUAUAAGGAGCUCCCCAUGGCGAUCUCCACCUCCCAUAACAACAACCCAUUAUCUUCUUUCUCUUCUCAGGGAUUCAAAAUUCAAUCACAUUCUUUCAAGCUAUAAACUAAUGGCAUCCAAUUCUGUCACCUCCUCAAGAAACUCUGCCUCUUCUUGGACAUCCAAGCAGAACAAGCUAUUCGAAAAGGCCCUGGCUUUAUACGAUAAGGACACUCCUGAUCGCUGGCAGAAUGUUGCAAAUGCUGUAGGUGGGAAAUCUCCAGAGGAAGUCAAGAGGCAUUACGAAAUUCUUAUUAAGGACGUCAGGGAAAUUGAGUCCGGCAGAGUCCCAUUUCCGAAUUACAGGUCCAGCGGAAGCACCAACUAAUGGCAUUGCCUUUCAAGUGCAGAGGUAAUGCACUGCAUAAGCAAUAUAUAUGUACUAUCAGAGCCUCAUAGCUUCAUUGUAUCUCAGCUCUUUCAUAAGGCUCCAACACGUGUCAAAAGCUAUACUUAAUCUCAAGUUGUAGCUCAGUCGCAGGACUGAGAGCUGAAAAAAAAUUGGAAAUUCCACUAUAUAUUUUUGUUUCUCCUUCUUGUGCCCCUCCUUCGAUCUUCUUCUCCUUCUUCUUCUUUGUCAUGUCAUUGUAUAUUUGUAUUUCCUCUUUCUAAUUAAUUUAAUGUGAUGGGUUUUAUAUCUUCUAUUCCCUGAAGAAGGGAUUA